rnacentral:rRNA from 1 species
GACGAACGCUGGCGGCGUGCUUAACACAUGCAAGUCGAACGAAGAGCGAUGGAAGCUUGCUUCUAUCAAUCUUAGUGGCGAACGGGUGAGUAACGCGUAAUCAACCUGCCCUUCAGAGGGGGACAACAGUUGGAAACGACUGCUAAUACCGCAUACGAUCUAAUCUCGGCAUCGAGGAUAGAUGAAAGGUGGCCUCUACAUGUAAGCUAUCACUGAAGGAGGGGAUUGCGUCUGAUUAGCUAGUUGGAGGGGUAACGGCCCACCAAGGCGAUGAUCAGUAGCCGGUCUGAGAGGAUGAACGGCCACAUUGGGACUGAGACACGGCCCAGACUCCUACGGGAGGCAGCAGUGGGGAAUCUUCCGCAAUGGACGAAAGUCUGACGGAGCAACGCCGCGUGAGUGAUGACGGCCUUCGGGUUGUAAAGCUCUGUUAAUCGGGACGAAAGGCCUUCUUGCGAAUAGUGAGAAGGAUUGACGGUACCGGAUAGAA